rnacentral:lncRNA from 1 species
GUUGGAAAAUAAUUGCAAAGUAAGCUCAAUGGAAUUAUUGGUGCAAACUGAAUAUCUUCUGACUGUUUACUAAAAGAAGGGUGAUGUAUAACAACCGUAGGUUUUAUUCAUAUAAAUGAGCUGAAAAUUCACAGUAGCUUUGUAACUACUUGCUGGAUAACUGCAUACAUUCAGGGAUUUUUUUCCCCAAUAAUAAAAACUUUUACUCAUAAUCACCAAAACUUAGAUGGAACCAAGAUGUCCUUCAGUAGAUUAAUGGAUAAAUAUACUGUGGUACAUCCAGACAAUGGAAUAUUGUUCAUCAGUAAAAAGGAAGGAGCUAUCGAGCUAUGGAGGAAACUUACAUGCUACUACAUGAAAGAAGCCAAUCUGAAAAGGCUACAUGUUGUAGAAUUCCAACUCUGUGACACUCUGGAAAAUGCAAAACUAUGGAGACUGUGAAAAUAUCAGUGGUUUCUAGAAAUUGGGUGAAGGCGGGGAUGAAUAGGCCGAGUGCAGAGGAUUUUUAGGGCAGUGAAACUAUUCCAUAUGAUGCUAUGAUGGUGGAAACGUGUCAUCGUACAUGUGUCAAAACACAUAGAAUACACAGUAACAAGAAUGAGCACUAAUAUAAACUAUGGACUUUAGGUGAUUAAUGAGGUGGCAAUGCAGGCUCAUCAAUUGUAAGAAAAUGCACCACUCUAGUGGGUGAUGUUGAUAAUGGGGGUGGGAGUGUUACACACAGGUGGGGCUAAGAGUAUAUGGGACAUCUCUGUACCUUCUGCUCAAUUUUGCUGUGAACCUAAAACUGCUCUAAGAAAUAAAGCCUACUGAUAUGGUUUGAAUCUCUGUCCCCACCCAAAACUCACAUUGAAUUGUAAUCCCCAGUGUGGGAGGUAGGGCCUGGUGGAAGGUGAUCGGAUCAUGGGGACGGCGUUCUCAUGAAUGGUUUAGUACAUCCCCUUGGUACUGUACAGUGAGUGAGUUCUCAUGAGAUCUGGUUAUUUAAAAGUGUUUAGCACCCUCCUCCCUUCCUCCUGCUCUGCCAUGUAGAUGUGCCUGCUUCCUCUUCACCUUCUGCCAUGACUAGAAGCUUCUUGAGUCCUCCCCAGAUGCCACUGUGCUUCCUGUACAGCCUGCAGAACCGUGAGCCAAUUAAAUCUCUUCUUUACAGACUGGGCGUGGUGGCUCACACCUGUAAUCCCAGCACUUUGGGAGGCUGAGGCAGGCGAAUCACUUGAGGCCAGGAGUUCAAGACCAGCCUGGACAUCAUGGCAAAACCCCGUCUCUACUAAAAACACUAAAAUUAACCAGGUGUAGUGGCGCACGCCUUUAGCUAUUUGAGUGGCUGAGGCAUGAGAAUCUCUUGAACCUGGGAAGUGAAGGCUGCAGUGAGCUAUGAUGCUGAGAUCACACCACUGAACUCCAGCCUGGGCAACACAGCUAGACUGUUUCAAAAAAAAGAAAAAAAAUCUUCUUUAUAAAUUACCCAGUUUCAGGUAUUUCUUUAUAGCAAUGUGAGCAUGGACUAAUAGUCUACUAAAAAGAAAAAAGGUUAUUCUACACAAAGUGGUAUGUUCCUCUGGGUAGAGAUUUCCCUUUUUUUCCUCCCAAAAAUUUGGUUAUAAGGAUGGGAUCCCUCAACUAAGCCCUCCACUGGGCACAUUUCUUGGAGUAUUUGUAGCCAUCUUUAAUCAAAUAAGGGACUAUUUGCUAAAAAGUGUUUCUUCAACUACUUUGGUUCAGUGGAAUUGGGUUCCCAGGGAAAAUCCCAAACUCUCACUAGAAGUUUUGAGUUACCAUUGAGUAAAAUUGGUAAUGUGGCUGAAAGGCCCUGUGUGGUUUGCUGUUGGCUUUAAUGGUAAAAUGUUCUGAAAACUCUGGAAUGCUGUCAGCGGGUCCCUCUCCUGGAAGGCGUGCUUCACUCUGCCAUGCCGGGCUCCAGGAGGAUAACUGCUUGCUGCUCCAGCAACUCAGGCUGCUUGCUGUGCCUGGAAUGCUCAGCAUGAGGGGCCACCGAGGGCAGUUCCUGAAGCCUCUCCACUGAAGGUGGACUGGGAGAAGCCACAGUGCCACGCUUCUUAGCCACAUGAGGCCCGUGAGUUUUCACCAGCUGUUCACCUUUCCUAAGUCCAAGGCAUGUCUCAGGGGGUCCGGGCUCCUGAUCCUCUCCACUUCUGUGGCAGCUUUGUUGCAGAGAAUUCAAGAGAGCAAAUAAGGGAAAAUGUAGUUGGGUGGCAAGAAUAAUUUCUCACGUUUUGAGGGAAGUAGCCCAAGUUUGGGAAAAUAUGGAGAAAGAUAAAGAAGACAAAAAAAUAGCCCUUAAGAUUUCCCAGUUAGAAUUAUUCACAAAGGGAAUAAACCCUUAUCUGGGGCCACCACCAGACAAGAAGGAACCCCGUAAUGGAAAGUCAAUAUGUUACUGUUGUAAGAAAUCAGGACAGUGGAGGAAAAAUGAAUGCUAAACGAGGGUCAAGAAGAGUUGAGAGAUACAAGCUAACUCUAAAGCUUUACCGUCAUCUCCAAGAGAUUUUUGCCUAAGGAAAUUGGACAAAAAGUAAUUGGAAAAUUGUGGAAAGUAACCUCAGAGCUGAGGGUGGGAGGCAUUUAUGUGUCUCUUUCUUUUCCCACUUUAAGCUUGUCCUGAUCUUUCUUGUGAACACUGAAGGCACACACUCCACAAUUUCUACAGACGGUUAUCAUUUUACGUCAACCUAGGAAAACAUCCAACUUUUGGGUACCUCUAGACAACCUUCUCCCUGUUCUUUCUUCUCUGAGGUUUCUCAACAAGUAGAUUCUCCAUACUGUAGAUGGAGUGUUUUCAGAGCUCCCAGGAGGCAAGGAGUUGGUAAAUAAGCACUUUCUAAAAUAAAAGAACUAUCAUUAUCUAUUUGUUCAUCAAAUAGAUACUUAGGUUUUUCCCAUAUCUUGACUAUUGUGAAUAAUGCUGCAAUGAACUGAGACUGCCGACAUUUUCACAAGGUCACUUUCUCUGACUAUAUGCCCAGAGGAGAGAUUGCUAGGCCAUAAUGUAGUUCUUUUUAAAAUUUCCUUAGGAGCCUCCAUACUGUUUUGCAUAAUGGCUGUGGCAAUCUACAUUUCCACUAACAGAGUACAAGCAUCCCCUUUUCUACAUACCCUCACCAACACUUAUUAUCUCCUGACUUUUUGAUAGUAGCCAUGCUUACAGAUGUGAGACAUUUCACAGUGGCUUUAAUUCACAUUUUCCUGGUGACUGAUAACAUUGAGCACAUUUUCAUAUACCUGUUGGCCACUUUUAACGUCUUCUUUGGAGAAGUGGCUAUGUAGGUCCCUUGUCCAUUUUUUUAAUUCGGUUGUUUGUUUUUUUAAUAUGGAAUUGUAUGAGUUCUUUAUAAAUAUUGGAUUUUGUUUCCAAAUCUGUAGGUUGCCAUUUUAUUUUGUUGAUUGUGUUUUUUGCUGUUCAGCCUUUAAAAAGAAGGAGAUCUUGCCAUUUGCCACAACAUGCAUGAACCUGGAGGACACUAUGCAAAGUGAAACAAGCCAGACAAAGAAUGAAAAAUAUUCCAUGAUCUCACUUACAUAUUGAAUCUUUUAAAAAAACAGAUUUCUGUAAUGCACUGUAGACUGCAUUACAGACCUAACAAGAUGAAACAUAUAAAGGAAGUAAAAAGGGCUAAUAAAGUUUGAACUGCGGAAGUCGAAGCCCCGUUACUGCUGCAGAGGAACUCCUAUUCGCUGUUUCAGCAACAAACAACCCUCCAAGACUUAGAAAAUAAGAAAGAAAGAAAAUGGGGUGUCCUCAAUAGGAUUAUUCCUGUCCCCCAGUUGUACGAUUGAGUGGAUUUUUCAUGCCAUCAGCAAGCUCAUUUGAACAAAAGAAUACUCUGAAAACCUUGGAAUUCUACUACAUUUGCUAUAGGGUCAAAUAGUUCAGGAAAUGACACAAAGGUGUGCUGUUUGUCAGCAAAGUUAUUUGUGGGAAACACCCAAGUUAAGUCGAAGAAGCCCGCUGAGGCCAACAUGAUCUGAGAACUGGACAAACAUGGACUUUACAGAAGUUGUGCCCUCGGAAGUUAAGAAUUAUUGUUUAGCAGGGAUGUGUAUGAUGCCUGGAUGGCCGGAGGGCGUUCACGUGCUAAAGCAAAUGCUCAAACAAUGAUCAUAUCAUUACUGAAUUUUAUCAUUCUAACCUUUGGGAUUCCAGAACAUGUAAAAUCCAGUAGAUAAGCCAUUUGGUUUCUACGGGGCUAAUUUAGGGGCUCUUUAAAACACUACAGAGGUCUUUAAAUUAUUAUACUCUUUAUUAUCACCAAGCUCCUGGGCUGGUAGAAUGACUAAACCACAGUGUAUUAGUCCAUUCUCACAUUGCAAUAAAGAACUACCUGAGACUGGGCAAUUUAUAAAGAAAAUAGGUUUAAUUGGCUCAUGGUUCUUCAGGCUGUACAGGAAGCAUGCUGAGGGGGAGGCCUCAGGAAGCUCACAAUCAUGUCAGAAGGCGAAGGGCAAGCUGGAACAUCUUACUUGGCUGGAGAAGGAGGAAGAAAGGGAAGCAUGAGGUGCUACACACGCUGGAGAAGGAGGAAGAAAGGGAAGCAUGAGGUGCUACACACUUUUAAACAACCAGAUCUCGUGAGCACUCACACACUACCAUGACAACAGCCAGGGGGAAAUUCACCUUCAUGAUCCAAUUGCCUCCCACCAGGCCCCUCGUCCAACACUGGGAAUUACAAUUUGACAUGAGAUUUGGACGGGGACACAAAUCCAAACCAUAUCACACACCCUAAAGAAUUAUUUGGUUAACUUACACCAAACCAAUGGCUUAUUCGAGUGUUGUUACUGGUCCUGUUAAAAAUAAGAUCAACUCCUAGCAAGCAUGCUAUUUCGCCUUUGGAGUUAACAUCUAGUGACCUAUGAAUUCAGGAUUUAAGUUCACUGCUUACCUAUAAAGGAAAACACCAUAGAUGUACUACUUAACUGGGUUGCCAUCUUUCUAGGCUUAUUCUGCCAUCACGUGGCAGAUGCUGGAAAAGUCCCCAAGGAGACGUGCUAUCAAUUUUGACCAGAAAAAAGCUACAUAGAGUUCCAGUGACAAGACUGGAUGAUCAUUGUGCUAAGAAAGACCCCGCCAGGGGUGGAUCAGGAGGUCAGGAGAUCGAGACCAUCCUGGCUAACACGGUGAAACCCCGUCUCUGCUAAAAAUACAAAAAAAAUUAGCCGGGCCUGGUGGUGG